rnacentral:lncRNA from 1 species
AGGACGAUAUUGAUGAUGAAAUAUCUUACAAAGAUCAUUUAGAGGUUUAUUUUGAACAACUGACAAUUCCAGGAAUGAUGGAAUAAAACAUAUGAAGUAGAAGGACUGGAACCUCCAGAAAAAAUACUUCAAGUUACCUACAAGUGAUCUUAGUCAGGCAAAUGAAAACAGUAGCCUAAAGUGUCAGUUUCAACCAGAAAAUAACAGCUAUGAUUUCUCAUGGCUCACACUCUUCCGAAACGACUCAGGAAGAGGCUGAGGAAGGCCAUGUUGUUUGUCUACCUGGGACUACACCUACUGAAAGAAGUUCUCAAGUUCUGAUUGAGUUCUAAAAGUUUUUUGAAGAUUGGAAUUCUUCAUAUGUAAGUAAAACCAAUUUCUGAUGACGCAUUUCUAGUCCAUCUUCUAAAGAAGUAUUUAAUCUGGGCCAUGCGUGGUGGCUCAUGCCUGUAAUCUCAGCACUUUGGGAGGCCAAGGCGGGUGGAUCACAAGGUCAAGAGAUCAAGACCAUCCUGGCCAACAUGGUGAAACCCCAUCUCUACUAAAAAUACAAAAAUUAGCUGGGCAUGCUAGUGCGUGCCUGUAGUCCCAGCUACUCAGGAGGCUGAGGCAGGAGAAUCACUUGAACCCGGGAAGCAGAGGUCACAGUGAGCCGAGAUUGCGCCACUGCACUC